UACAGAGGGGGCAAGCGUUGUUCGGAAUUACUGGGCGUAAAGGGCGCGUAGGCGGCCUGCUAAGUCGAACGUGAAAUCCCUGGGCUUAACCCAGGAACUGCGUCCGAUACUGGUUGGCUUGAAUCCGGGAGAGGGAUGUGGAAUUCCAGGUGUAGCGGUGAAAUGCGUAGAUAUCUGGAGGAACACCGGUGGCGAAGGCGACAUCCUGGACCGGUAUUGACGCUGAGGCGCGAAAGCCAGGGGAGCAAACGGG
rnacentral:rRNA from 1 species